UAAGGAAUAUUGCUCAAUGGGAGAAAUCCUGAAGCAGCAACGCCGCGUGGAGGAUGAAGGGUCUAUGACUUGUAAACUCCUGUAAAGAAGGAAAAAAUUCCCAUUUGAUGGGAGAUGAUGGUACUUCUGGAGUAAGCCCCGGCUAACUACGUGCCAGCAGCCGCGGUAAUACGUAGGGGGCAAGCGUUGUCCGGAUUUACUGGGUGUAAAGGGUGCUCAGGCGGAUUUGUAAGUCAGAGGUGAAAUCUUACAGCUUAACUGUGAAACUGCCUUUGAUACUGCACGCCUAGAGUAUGGAAGAGAGUGAUGGAAUAUCUGGUGUAGCAGUGAAAUGCGUAGAUAUCAGAUAGAACACCAAUGGCGAAGGCAGUCACUUGGUCCAUUACUGACGCUAAAGCACGAAAGCGUGGGUAGCA
rnacentral:rRNA from 1 species